rnacentral:misc_RNA from 1 species
UACGGAGGGUGCAAGCGUUGUCCGGAAUCAUUGGGCGUAAAGGGUGUGCAGGCGGAAGUCUAGGUCGGAGGUGAAAUCUUGCCGCUUAACGGUAAAAGUGCCGUCGAAACUGGAUUUCUUGAGUUCGGAAGAGGCCGGUGGAAUUCGUGGUGUAGCGGUGAAAUGCAUAGAUAUCACGAAGAACACCAGUGGCGAAGGCGGCCGACUGGUCCGAUACUGACGCUGAGACACGAGAGCGGGGGGAGCGAACAGG